rnacentral:rRNA from 1 species
AUUGAACGCUGGCGGCAGGCCUAACACAUGCAAGUCGAGCGAGCGGCGGACGGGUGAGUAAUAUCUGUGAAACUGCCUGAUGGAGGGGGAUAACUCCUGGAAACGGUAGAUAAUACCACAUACACUAUGAUGUGACCAGAUGGGAUUAGCUGGUAGGUGGGGGAAAGGCUCACCUAGGCGACGAUCCCUAGCUGGUCUGAGAGGAUGACCAGCCACACUGGAACUGAGACACGGUCCAGACUCCUACGGGAGGCAGCAGUGGGGAAUAUUGCACAAUGGGCGCAAGCCUGAUGCAGCCAUGCCGCGUGUAUGAAGAAGGCCUUCGGGUUGUAAAGUACUUUCAGCGGGGAGGCGUUACCCGCAGAAGAAGCACCGGCUAACUCCGUGCCAGCAGCCGCGGUAAUAC